ensembl:lncRNA
AAAAGUUAAAGAUUUCCACGCUAGAACACACAUUUCGCUUUGUACUUGAAUAUUUAUGUAUAAAGUGAAAUAAAACUAGUCUCGAGGAGUGAGUUACAGAGAUUUUGGCUCACAUGAAUAACGUUAACGUUACCAUAACGCGCGAGACCCGCUCAAGCUGUAGCAUGAAACUACAAAGUAAAAGUAAAAGCAACCUGGACCCUUGAGAUACACGCAUGUUUGGUGAUGGAAGGAUGGCUGGUGGUGUUAGUUUGUGUGCUGUUUUCAAGGCAACCGUCUGAAGUUCAUGCAUUCACACGAAAGGCGCUGUUUUUGCACUGGAAGACAGUUUUUAAAUUUUCAAGGUCAUGUUAAAUCCCCUCGAUGACACUUGUGUGGACAUUACGCAGGCUGUCCAUAAAAACAUUUAUAAAUGGUCAGCCAUGAGAGAUGACAUCAAUAUCAGUGUGGAGGUGCGGGUGGUAUAGAAGCUCAAGGUGGAAUAAAAGAGAGUGAUAAAGAGCCAGGUAAUGGAGCGGAACAGAGGUGGUACCACUGCAGGGUAAAAGGUGUGGACACCAGCCCCAGCGUACUCCUCUCCCUCAAGCCCAGACGGGUUGGACUUGAGCUGGGAUGAAGAACCGGAUGAGGACUUUCAAAGCCAGAUGAAUGAGAAUGCCAUCAUUGGUCUGGCAGAGAGUCAAGGGCAGCAGGAGGUGAGGACAUCAGAGAUAUUAGAUUGAUAUUGGCCCAUUUAUUGGUCAUUUAGAGCAGUCUCACCUGGGCUCUUCAUCAGAAGAAUCUCAUUACACUUAAAAACACUUGAGUUAAACUGUAUUUAAUUAAAAACAUUUAAUCAAUUUAUAUGCCAUGGUUUUAGAUUAACGGUGCUUUUUAAAACUUUCUGCAACUGUUUAAUAAGCAUCUUAUGAUUGUGUCAAUCAGGGAGAAGAGGAGGAGAUUUGCAGAAGGCCUGUUGUGGGAUGUGAAGACCCCUGAGCCUGAGCAUGGGCCACCGCCUGCACUAGAGGAGAUAAGCUGUCACCUGAGUGAGCUGCUGGACUCUGAGCCGCUCUCUCAGGCCACUGGAGAUGACUGCUGCUCUCCAUCUCUGCAGGAAGAACACAAAACAGAUGAUGACCGAAGUGUUUUGUUGGAGGAUUGGACUGAUGAUGAGGACGGUACAAGGAGCCCAACAAUUCACAGACACAUAUUAAACCCUUUGCCACAGAGAGACACAGUGCUAGACAUGAUCGAUGAGGAAACAAAAGAGAAGGACACAUGUGAAGAUGCUCAGAGAUUCAUGGAUCAAACAUUACCUGUCACAAAAGAGAUGGCAUCUAUGUUUGAAAGGAUGAAGAGCUGUGAUUACAGUGAGAUCCCACAGCAUUUUGAGCAAAGUGAUUGUGAGGAAACUGAGGAAACCAAUGGACAGUUUCUUCCAGUCUCACAUCGCAUCUCUAGAAACACUUGUAAUCCCAUCAGGUUUCCCUAUUUGUCCUACGGGGAACUUAUGAAUAACUGUGGGAUUGAAGCUGAAACAUUUCCAGCACAGUACCAGAGGAGUUACACUGCCCCCAGCAGGCCAGCACACUGAUGCAGCUGCUACAGGUG